ACUCACUUACUUUUCCAACUGGACCAAGUUAAAGAGAGCAGUGGCGUGGUACUUAAAGGUAAAGAGCAUUCUUCAGGCAAACUGUGAAAAAAGGAAAUUGAACCAAACUUCUCCUUGUACACGCAAUUACACCAGGAACCAGAACAAAAUGCAGAGAGCUCAAAUUGGGCAUUCUAUAACACUGGAUGACAUUCUGAAUGCAGAAAAGGCUAUUGUUAUGUUCUGCCAGAAACAAACCUAUGCAGACGAAAUAGAAAAACUGAAAUUGGCAUCCAGUAAAGGUCUAAACAAAAGGAGCAGCAUCUACAAACUAGACCCAGUGCUGAAAGGUGGAGUUUUAAGAGUAGGUGGGCGUUUAAAGAGGUCUGCUAUGCCUGAAGAAACUAAGCAUCCAAUGAUUUUGCCAAAACAUAAUCAUGUUUCCACACUCAUCCUACGUGAAAUACAUGAAAAUUUAGGACAUGCUGGCAGAAACCAUAUGCUCUCACAACUUAGGAGAAGAUUUUGGAUGGUAAAUGCCAAUUCUGCAGCUCGAAAUGUAAUUUCCCAAUGUGUGGUGUGCAAACGUGCCCGAGGAAAGAUUGGGGAACAGAAGAUGGCUGACCUUCCCCAGGAAAGGGUAAGAGCUGACCUUCCUCCCUUCAGUAAUGUAGGAGUGGACUACUUCGGACCCUUUGAGACAAAAAGAGGAAGAGCCCUUGUAAAAAGGUACGGAGUGUUAUUUACCUGCAUGUCCAGUAGAGCAGUGCACUUGGAGAUGGCUCAUUCUUUGGACACUGACUCCUGCAUUAAUGCACUUAGAAGAUUCAUAAGCAGGAGAGGUCAAGUAACCCACAUUCGUUCAGACAAUGGAACUAACCUUGUUGGUGCAAAAAAGGAACUUCAGAGGUCAUUGUCAUGUUGGAACCAUGAUAAAAUUGAAAAGGCAAUGCUGCAGAAAGGAGUCCAGUGGAGUUUUAAUUCCCCAUCAGCUUCGCAUCAUGGUGGCGUUUGGGAAAGGAUGAUUAGAAUGGUGAGACAAAUCAUCUGCUCUAUCCUACAUCAGCAAACCCUUGAUGAUGAAAGUUUAAACACUCUGCUUUGUGAAAUUGAAGCCAUUCUGAAUGGCCGUCCUCUAAGCACUGUGUCAGAUGA
rnacentral:lncRNA from 1 species